AACGUAGGAGGCAAGCGUUAUCCGGAAUUACUGGGCGUAAAGGGCAAGCAGGCGGCAGCUUAAGUCGGACGUGAAAGCUCCUGGCUCAACUAGGAGAGGCCGUUCGAGACUAAGUUGCUCGAGGCUGGUAGAGGAGAGUGGAAUUCCCGGUGUAGUGGUGAAAUGCGUAGAUAUCGGGAGGAACACCAGUGGCGAAGGCGGCUCUCUGGACCAGAACUGACGCUGAGAUGCGAAAGCUAGGGGAGAGAACGGG
rnacentral:misc_RNA from 1 species